CGGAACCUCUUGUUCAGUGAUUCCACGCGAGGUCCCUUAGUUUGUUUCUUCUUUUCAGCAUCUAAUUGUCUACGAAUAGGUUCUAGCCUGCAGCAAAUGUGUUAGCAACAGAUAUAAAUUCUUGUAGUGCUGCUUUUAACAUAAAACAGAGCAAUUCAAAGAGAGCUCUUAGUUAACAGAUAAACCAAUGCAAGCAAAACAUGAAUUAUGUGACAGAAUUAUUUGUGAUGUCCAAAAAUUCAUCACUUUUUGGUAAAAGAAGUGACCCAUUUCAAAAAAAGGGUCACAUAAAGCGUUUCAUGGUGGAUGAAGUCUUUUUAAGAUUUUAUUUGACACAUAAUGUCAAAUCCAUCAGAAAUUGUAUGCUAGAAAUUUUUGUGCCCAAUUAAUUAUUAGCUGGUAACGAAAGUAGAGGAUUCGCCACAUAACAUGUACAAAACUAUUGCGCUAGAGUCAAGAAUAAAAAUACAAAAAAAAAAAAAAAACUGAAGUAAUUAAAAUCAAAACCUCAAAUUGUGAAAACUCACUUUUUGCUCUGCUCUCUCACCCCCACGCCUACUCUCAGUUGUUCAGCGGUUCUCGACUCCGAGUCCCCGACGACCAGCCACCUGGUGGUUACCAAAAACACAUUAUAAAUUAAAAUUCCUGUCCACUUUGGUAACUCAUUUUUAUUUUUGUCGUACAAAUACCAGAGAAGGU
rnacentral:lncRNA from 1 species